rnacentral:rRNA from 1 species
GACGAACGCUGGCGGCGCGCUUAACACAUGCAAGUCGAGCGAGAACCAGACCUUCGGGUCUGGGGACAGCGGCGAACGGGUGAGUAACACGUGGGUAAUCAACCCUCGGUACUGGGAUAGCCCGGGGAAACCCGGAUUAAUACCGGAUGGCCCUUCGGAUCUUCGGUUCUGAAGGAAAAGGUAGCUUCGGCCUCCGACCGAGGACGAGCCCGCGGCGGAUUAGCUUGUUGGUGGGGUAACGGCCUACCAAGGCGGCGAUCCGUAGCUGGUCUGAGAGGACGAUCAGCCACACUGAGAGUGAGACACGGCCCAGAGUUCUACGGAAGGCAGCAGUGGGGAAUCUUGCGCUAAUGCGGGAAACCGUGACGCAGCGACGCCGCGUGAGGGAAGAAGGCCUUCGGGUUGUAAACCUCUUUCAGGAGGGAUGAAGCUACUCGGGUUAAUAGCCCAGAGGGUGACGGUACCUUCAGAAGAAGCCCCGGCUAACUACGUGCCAGCCGCCGCCGUAA